rnacentral:rRNA from 1 species
AUUGAACGCUGGCGGCAGGCCUAACACAUGCAAGUCGAGCGGAGCGGCGGACGGGGGAGUAAUGCCUAGGAAUCUGCCUGGGAGUGAGGGAUAACGUCCGGAAGCGGGCGCUAAUACCGCAUGCUAUCAGAGGAGCCUAGGUCGGAUUAGCUAGUUGGUGGGGUAAAGGCCUACCAAGGCGACGAUCCGUAACUGGUCUGAGAGGAUGAUCAGUCACACUGGAACUGAGACACGGCCCAGACUCCUACGGGAGGCAGCAGUUGGGAAUCUUGGACAAUGGGCGAAAGCCUGAUCCAGCCAUGCCGCGUGUGUGAAGAAGGUCUUCGGAUUGUAAAGCACUUUAAGUAGGGAGGCGUUACCAACAGAAUAAGCACCGGCUAACUUCGUGCCAGCAGCCGCGGUAAUUC